rnacentral:rRNA from 1 species
CAGUCGCCACGGUAAUACGGAGGGGGCUAGCGUUGUUCGGAAUUACUGGGCGUAAAGCGCACGUAGGCGGCUUGGUAAGUUGGAGGUGAAAGCCUGGAGCUCAACUCCAGAAUUGCCUUUAAGACUGCCGAGCUAGCAGGUGAGAGAGGUAAGUGGAAUUCCGAGUGUAGAGGUGAAAUUCGUAGAUAUUCGGAAGAACACCAGUGGCGAAGGCGGCUUACUGGCUCAUACUGGACGCUGAGGUGCGAAAGCGUGGGGAGCAAACAGGAUUAGAUACCCCCGUAGUCCCUGUCUCUUAUAC